AGGGAAGGGAGCUGGACCUGCCUGGAGCUGAGUCCACACCACCGAAGUUUUGAGUCUCCAAGGCAAAAUCUGCCCCAAGGGGCCCUGAGAGGGUUGGUAGAAGGAGCUGCCUUCAGUGGAGCUGCUGCCACUUCCUCGGUCCUGUGCUUUUGAAGGUCCAGCACCCUUGGCCUGGGUGAGCCCUCUGGGAGGGAGCUGGGGCUGCAGGCUUGGAGACUGACUGGACCAAGCCUGCAGGUGGCCUGGCCGACCCCAUUACAGACAUGUGAAGACAUCAGUGAGGACUCACCCCUCUUCCUCUUUUUUUUUCAGACAGAGUCUUGCUCUUGUCGCCCAGGCUAGAGUGCAGAGGUGCAAUCUCAGCUCACUGCAACCUCUGCCUCCCAGGUUCAAGCAAUUCUCCUGUCUCAAUCUCCCAAUUAGCUGGGAUUACAGAUGCACGCCACCACGCCCUGCUAAUUUUUAUAGUUUUGGUAGAGACAGGGUUUUACCAUGUUGGCCAGGCUGGUCUCAAACUCCUGACCUCAUGGUCUGCCUACCUCGGCCUCCCAAAGUGCUGGGAUUACAGGCAUGAGCCACCGUGCCUGGCCUCACCGCUCUUCUUGACAGCAAACCCAGAAGCUUGCCUGUACUCACCCCUC
rnacentral:lncRNA from 10 species